AAUGUCACUUAAAUGUCACAAGAUUUAAAAGUGAAUCACUGUAUUUAAGUUGAACAGUAGAGUAAUUUAUCUUAUGAGCAACCGAUAACAGCAAUUCACCUUAGUAGAAACACCUGUGAUCACUGUUCCCUCUAAACUGAGCGCGUGCGCAAUUGCGCACUGCUGACACGGUCUCCGCGCACAGAAAAUCUGCACUGCGCACAAAAAAAAAAAUCCAACCUAAAUUGUAAAUAAAAUAAACACGUAACAAUUCAUUCUGUGCUAUUUUUCAGUGUGAGUCAGUGAGUGACCGGUGACUGGCUGCUGCAGCCAAUGAUGCGAUUCACAUACGUAUUUACCAUAGACUGUAUAUAAUGGUAUUUACGCAGCUAAUCAACGUCAGGCGUCCUUAUGUGCAGCCACCGUUGUUCUCAUAGAUAUGAAUGAGUAGAUAGGACACGCCCCUUUGAGCUGCGUGCUACAGCGAGGCUAAGCUAGUGGGGGAAAAGUUUCAGUGCAUUCCGUUGAUGUAGACAGUGUGAAAACGGAAACAAGUAUGCCGGCUCACUGUGCUGCAUACAGUUACACACUGCGUCGUACGAUUGAGACAAGGAAACCUGGAAUGACUUUUCAUAGGUUUCCCAGAGACUAUGGGUUGAGGAGGAAGUGGAAGUUUGUCGGCUUAGACCUGGUGUCAUUCCAUCAGUGUUAAACUUCCCGGCUUAUCUUGGAAGAGUACGUGCCAGAAAGACCACGACCAAGCAGCCUUGAGAUCUUAGGCAGCGUCUCCCUGAGGUCCCUCUCUAUCUCCCUACACAUCCACCAACCACUGGAACACAUCUCCAAAGUUCUGCCGGGCCAGCUCAGCUUCCCCUCAGAAGAAGUUCCACCAGAUGAAGGAGCCUUUUGAGAGGCAGCUGGCAUCGUGAUUGGACUGUACUUUGGUCUGUUCUAAUCCAGCUUCAGCUCCAGAGACGGCAGGCGGGACGAGUCAACGGAGGCUGGGUGGACGAAGGCAUGCAGCUGAGUACAAUCCAGAAAACAACAGAGGAGGAGUGCAGCGGCCCAGGGCCAGAACAAACAGAGUAGCAUCGUAUGUCUCUUAGAAAACAUCAUAGCAUAGCCUUUGGUAUGAAAAAACGCCAUCAUAUACAUCGUAUAUUGUACAAAUAACAAGUCAAAGGAAAGAGACAUACAUUGUAGAAUUGUAGUAAUUGUGGGCUGACUGAUUUACUGAUUAUCAGUAUUUUAUUUUUUUACUAAUUUACGGUAAUAAAUACAUUUAAAAAUGGU